rnacentral:rRNA from 1 species
GACGAACGCUGGCGGCGUGCCUAAUACAUGCAAGUCGAGCGAAUGGAAGGGAGCUUGCUCCCUGAAGUUAGCGGCGGACGGGUGAGUAACACGUGGGCAACCUGCCUGUAAGACUGGGAUAACUUCGGGAAACCGGAGCUAAUACCGGAUACGUUCUUUCCUCGCAUGAGGAAAGAUGGAAAGAUGGUUUCGGCUAUCACUUACAGAUGGGCCCGCGGCGCAUUAGCUAGUUGGUGGGGUAAUGGCCCACCAAGGCGACGAUGCGUAGCCGACCUGAGAGGGUGAUCGGCCACACUGGGACUGAGACACGGCCCAGACUCCUACGGGAGGCAGCAGUAGGGAAUCUUCCGCAAUGGACGAAAGUCUGACGGAGCAACGCCGCGUGAGCGAAGAAGGCCUUCGGGUCGUAAAGCUCUGUUGUCAGGGAAGAACAAGUGCCAGAGUAACUGCUGGCACCUUGACGGUACCUGACCAGAAAGCCACGGCUAACUACGUGCCAGCCGCCGCCGUAAAAC